rnacentral:rRNA from 1 species
UACGUAGGGUGCGAGCGUUAAUCGGAAUUACUGGGCGUAAAGCGUGCGCAGGCGGUUCGUUGUGUCGGCGGUGAAAGCCCCCGGCUCAACCGGGGAGGGCGGCUGGAAACUGUGCUUCUUGAGGGCGAUAGAGGAGUGUGGAAUUCCUGGUGUAGCGGUGAAAUGCGUAGAGAUCAGGAGGAACACCCGUGGCGAAGGCGGCACUCUGGAUCGGCCCUGACGCUGAGGCGCGAAAGCCAGGGGAGCAAACGGG